ACCUGGGUGGCUCAGUUGGUUGAGUGUCCGACUUUGGCUCGGGUCAUGAUCUCGUGGUUCGUGGGUUCGAGCCCCACAUCGGGCU
rnacentral:tRNA from 1 species